GAGACCGAUAGCGCACAAGUAGAGUGAUCGAAAGAUGAAAAGCACUUUGGAAAGAGAGUCAAACAGUACGUGAAAUUGUUGAAAGGGAAGCGCUUGCAACCAGACUUGCCCGCGGGUGAUCAGCCGGUAUUCUUACCGGUGCACUCGCCCGUGGUCAGGCCAGCAUCGGUUCGGGCGGCUGGAUAAAGUCCACUGGAAUGUAGCUCCCUUCGGGGAGUGUUAUAGCCAGAGGUGCCAUGCAGCCCGCCCGGACCGAGGACCGCGCUUCGGCUAGGAUGCUGGCGUAAUGGUUGCAAGCGACCCGUCUUGAAACACGGACCAAGGAGUCUAACAUCUAUGCGAGUGUUUGGGUGUCAAACCCAUGCGCGUAAUGAAAGUGAACGGAGGUGGGAACCCUUAAGGGUGCACCAUCGACCGAUCCUGAUGUCUUCGGAUGGAUUUGAGUAAGAGCAUAGCUGUUGGGACCCGAAAGAUGGUGAACUAUGCCUGAAUAGGGUGAAGCCAGAGGAAACUCUGGUGGAGGCUCGCAGCGGUUCUGACGUGCAAAUCGAUCGUCAAAUUUGGGUAUAGGGGCGAAAGACUAAUCGAACCAUCUGCUACUAGAUGGCAUACCGGGCCGCGCGCCCCAGUAGUCCCCGCGUGGCGGGGGCAACAUCGCCGGUCUCUCCGGGGACGCCUCUGGGCUACCCGCAGUGAGCCUUGGGCUCAUUCACAGACUAAGUGGCGGUGGCUGUGCCCUGGAGCACGGUUAGGAUAUAGUCG
rnacentral:rRNA from 1 species